rnacentral:lncRNA from 1 species
GUCUGUUUAUGGGAAAUAUAUGCUUCCUCCCCUCCAGCGCAGCUCAGGAACCGUCAUUUAAGUAGUGCCUGUGUAUCCUGGGGCUUGAGAUGUGUGCACUCAUUUCGUCCUCCCAGGGCCUUGGAGGGACAGAUGGUGCCAGCACGCUGUUUGCUAAGGGGCCCAGGAGGGUCAGACAUCCAACCCAGACCCUGCUUCUUUCCCCAGAGCCAUAAAGGCACAGUGAGGAAUAGUGACCAGGGAGAGGCCAGGAACCCUUGAGGGCUACCUGGAGCUUUGACAACCCAGUCAGCGGGGAGGGGCACAGUAUGUGGAGAAAGCCAUCUUUCCUAAGCUGGUUAGGCCUAAAUAGCUUCAGGCCAAAAAAGGCUGUCAGACCUGCUCUGUCAGUGACCCCCAACAGCACACCCAACGCCCACACACCUGCCGAACCCAAAUCUCACCCUGAGGUGAGGAAAGGAGCUACAUGCACAGUCAGGCACUAAGCUGGCCUGGGAAGAGGCCCGGCCUGGCCCCAGCACCAGAUGGUGUCCUUGAGGAAAAGGGAGAGAGACCAUGGGCAGAGACCAUCCCGCAUGGAAGCCACUCCCAGCCCCCGAUGCCCCAACUGAAGAGGAAGGCAGGAGAGCCCCAGCCACACUGGAAUGCAAUGACUGAACCCACAGCUGCUCCCACACACAGAGGCGCGGCCCAGCCAGCAUUUGGGAGGGCCGCUGCUCAGCUAUGACCUGGCCCAUGCAGCAGGAGCCUGGGACACUCAGAGUGGAGGCCCUUGUGGCAGCUGAGCUCCCAUCCCUGUGUCACUCACUGACCCUGAACACCACGGAGGACACACAGGCUUCUGGGUCUGUGCUCACCCCUCAGGGGACAGCGCUCUGGGUACGCUAUCAGGGGCCUGGUGACACAGCCUACCUUUGUCGUGUCGUCCUUUCCUGGGAGUGUUGGAUGGCUAUUGCUCGAGGAAGCUGGUGCUGGUCGGCGUGACUCUGCUUGUUGCAGAUCGUGGUGCUGCUGUGCAGUGUUUAUUCUUUCUUAACAAAUAAUCCCUUUAUGAAAUUGAGCUAGAAGUCAAAAAAGGAAAAAAAGUGACGUCUCAGGGAAGCCAUGACAAAAAUAAUUAUC